rnacentral:rRNA from 1 species
CAGCAGCCACGGGAAUACAGAGGGUGCAAGCGUUAAUCGGAAUUACUGGGCGUAAAGCGCGCGUAGGUGGUUUGUUAAGUUGGAUGUGAAAUCCCCGGGCUCAACCUGGGAACUGCAUCCAAAACUGGCAAGCUAGAGUAUGGUAGAGGGUGGUGGAAUUUCCUGUGUAGCGGUGAAAUGCGUAGAUAUAGGAAGGAACACCAGUGGCGAAGGCGACCACCUGGACUGAUACUGACACUGAGGUGCGAAAGCGUGGGGAGCAAACAGGAUUAGAUACCCCUGUAGUCCCUGUCUCUUAUAA